rnacentral:rRNA from 1 species
GACGAACGCUGGCGGCGUGCCUAACACAUGCAAGUCGAGGGAGUCCACCCUUUCGGGGUGAGGCGACCGGCGGACGGGUGAGGAACACGUGAGCAACCUAUCCUGGUGCGGGGACAACCCGGGAAACCCGGGACGUAAUACCGCAUGGGCGAGUCUUCUGCAUGGGGACUUGGGAAGCUGGCCUCUUAACAAUGCUAGCGUGCCGGGAGGGGCUCGCGGCCUAUCAGCUAGUUGGUGGGGUAAUGGCCCCACCAAGGCAGCGACGGGUAGCGGGUCUGAGAGGACGACCCGCCACAUUGGGACUGAGACACGGCCCAGACUCCUACGGGAGGCAGCAGUGGGAAUCUUGGGCAAUGGCCGAAAGGCUGACCCAGCGACGCCGCGUGUGGGAGG